GAAGGCAUUCCCUAAACAGUGUUGGACUAGGACUGGGGUGAUCAGGUUUGGAUCUCCAUUCAGCUAUGAAGCUCGCUGGGUGACCUUAGAGUAGACACUCCUCACCUCAUUUAUCUUGCAAGGUUGUUGCAAACAUAUAAUGAGAGGAAACAUGGGAUAUAAACGGAGAAAUAAAGACCAGGAGGAAUACUGAAGCAUUUCUAUAGUAGAGCUAGCCACCAAUUAAGUCAAGGGAACAGAUGCCAGCAUUUUAUUUCAGGUGUCAGGAAAGAUGUGCAAAUUAUUACUUUGCUGCCUUGGUUUUAUUGCCAGGGAGAGGGAGAAGCAUUGAUGGGAUUUUAUGCCUCAGGUACCAAAAUAAUUUGAUCCUAUGCUGGGUGCCAUGUGUAUCUUGAUCUGGGGGAAGGAUGAGUGCUGUUUUAUGUUCUGCCUCAGACAAGCAAAUGUCUUAGGCCCACUUUACUGCUAAUUCUCCUCACACCUCCUGCACACCUCCCAUAAACUGCCAUGAAUAAUAUAUAGAAAAGCAGGGGUAAAUGUGAAAAACAGGCAA